CCAAACCAUGUAAAGACUUGUCUUCUUUAACUUCCCACUUCUUUCCAAGGGCACAGACACUCCCGGCGCAGGUUGCUGUGCCCGGUUUUGCUCCUGGCUUUCUGUCCUUGCCAUGAGGCCCUGUCCUGCACCCCGCAGGGCUCUGCACAUGGGGUUCUGCAGCCCGUGUCAGUUCUCACAUCUUCAGGCCUGCCCGGCCUCGAUGGCGGCUCCUCACACAGCCACCACUCCAUGGUGAGUAACUGGAGCAGUGCUCACCUCUGUGAGGAUGCUUACUCACCCAGGAGCUGAGGUCUGACCGUGGCGACCAUGAUCUGCAGUAACAUCACGUGGAUGGGGCUGACAUCUCCCCUCCCUGCCCUGCAUGCACUGAAAGCCCUUGCAGGGCACACAUCAAACCCUCUGGGUGUGGAGGAGAAGUACUGUGCAUUGAUACUGCUAUAGCUAGGACCGGGGCUCAAUCCCGAGGAUGCUGCUGGAUAUAGACAGGAGAAACACACAGAAAUGAUGCUGCAAUCAAAUACAGAGUUUACUAUUACUCACAAAACUCAGAGCUGUGAAUUGGAAGCUUAUGACCCUCCCUCAAAUAAGCACUCCUCCACCUCUUCCUACUCCUCUGAGGAGUCAAUGGGGAGGAGUGUGCUUAAACUGUGAGCUCAGUGAGGAGUCUCCACCUGAUGGGCUCCGUGUGAUGCAGAUUUCAGCCCACAUUUCACUUCUCAUGGCUGAAAGAGCAACUGCCCCAACAACUUCCUCGUCUUUGUCUCCAGAACAGGCAGAUUCGUCCUGCAUUGACUGCACAGGUGAGGCUGAGAAGACCGUUUUCCUGCAGCUUGCAGACACAGUGAUGGAGCGUGGGGAUAUUUGCUCCCCCCCGUGGGACUGCCGCCAGGUGGGUGUUGCAGCACCAGGUGGGUGUUGCAGUGCAGGUGUUUGGGGCCGCACACCCCUGCCUGGUUUUCCUGGUGUUCAUCCGGUUCGCUGACCUCCCUGGGGCUUCCCAGGUACCGCAGGGCCACAGCCCGUCUGCUGCUUGAUCAGCAGUUAUGAUUCACCUGUUGAUGCCACAGCUUAAUAACUCACUUAACUGCAGUACUUUGAUUAAAGAGCAACCUAUCUAACGAUA